rnacentral:snRNA from 1 species
UAUCCCGGUUUCUUGUGCAUUAACGUAUACGCGCCUCGCCUUUUACUAGACGCGUCCGUGUAUGGGGAAUACUAUGGGACUUAUAAAUUUUUGGCAACACUUACUUAGUAAUGUG